rnacentral:rRNA from 1 species
AUUGAACGCUGGCGGCAGGCCUAACACAUGCAAGUCGAGCGAGCGGCGGACGGGUGAGUAAUGUCUGGGAAACUGCCUGAUGGAGGGGGAUAACUACUGGAAACGGUAGCUAAUACCGCAUACCCUCAGAUGUGCCCAGAUGGGAUUAGCUCGUAGGUGGGGUAACGGCUCACCUAGGCGACGAUCCCUAGCUGGUCUGAGAGGAUGACCAUCCACACUGGAACGGAGACACGGUCCAGACUCCUACGGGAGGAAGCAGUGGGGAAUAGUGCACAAUGGGCGCAAGCCUGAGGCAGCCAUGCCGCGUGGGUGACGAAGGCCGUCGGGGUGUAAAGCACUUUCAGCGGGGAGGCGUUACCCGCAGAAGAAGCACCGGCUAACUCCGUGCCAGCAGCCGCGGUAAUUC